rnacentral:rRNA from 1 species
ACUCAAAUGAAUUGACGGGGACCCGCACAAGCGGUGGAUGAUGUGGAUUAAUUCGAUGCAACGCGAAAAACCUUACCUACCCUUGACAUGUCCAGGACCCCGAUGAGAGUUGGGGGUGCCCGAAAGGGAACUGGAACACAGGUGCUGCAUGGCUGUCGUCAGCUCGUGUCGUGAGAUGUUGGGUUAAGUCCCGCAACGAGCGCAACCCUUGUCGUUAAUUGCCAUCAUUUGGUUGGGCACUUUAACGAGACUGCCGGUGACAAACCGGAGGAAGGUGGGGAUGACGUCAAGUCCUCAUGGCCCUUAUGGGUAGGGCUUCACACGUCAUACAAUGGUCGGUACAGAGGGUUGCCAAGCCGCGAGGUGGAGCCAAUCCCAGAAAGCCGAUCGUAGUCCGGAUCGCAGGCUGCAACUCGCCUGCGUGAAGUCGGAAUCGCUAGUAAUCGCGGAUCAGCAUGUCGCGGUGAAUACGUUCCCGGGUCUUGUACACACCGCCCGU